UACGUAGGGUCCGAGCGUUGUCCGGAUUUAUUGGGCGUAAAGAGCUCGUAGGCGGUUCGGUAAGUCGGAUGUGAAAUCUUUGGGCUCAACCCAAAGCGUGCACUCGAUACUGCCGUGACUGGAGUUCGGUAGGGGAGCGGGGAAUUCCUAGUGUAGCGGUGAAAUGCGCAGAUAUUAGGAGGAACACCGGUGGCGAAGGCGCCGCUCUGGGCCGAUACUGACGCUGAGGAGCGAAAGCGUGGGUAGCAAACAGG
rnacentral:rRNA from 1 species